UACAGAGGGGGCAAGCGUUGUUCGGAAUUACUGGGCGUAAAGGGCGCGUAGGCGGCCUCCUAAGUCGAACGGGAAAUCCCCGGGCUCAACCCGGGAACUGCGUCCGAUACUGGGAGGCUUGAAUCCGGGAGAGGGAUGUGGAAUUCCAGGUGUAGCGGUGAAAUGCGUAGAUAUCUGGAGGAACACCGGUGGCGAAGGCGGCAUCCUGGACCGGUAUUGACGCUGAGGCGCGAAAGCCAGGGGAGCAAACGGG
rnacentral:rRNA from 1 species